ACAGAUUAGAGCUUGAUUAAAGCGUUUUAUUUACACUAAAAAGAUAAUUUUAAUAUUUGAUCUG
rnacentral:tRNA from 1 species